rnacentral:tRNA from 1 species
GCGCCCGUAGCUCAAUUGGAUAGAGCGUCUGACUACGGAUCAGGAGGUUGGGGGUUCAAAUCCCUCCGGGCGUGCCA